GACAGAGGAGCCAAGCGUUGUCCGGAUUGACUGGGCGUAAAGCGCACGUAGGCGGAUGCGCGCGUGGGGUGUGAAAUCUGGCCGCUUAACGGCCAGGCGCCAUCCCAUACGGCGCGUCUGGAGUGAUGCAGAGGUCGAUGGAAUUGCCGGUGUAGUGGUGAAAUGCGUAGAGAUCGGCAGGAACACCCAGGGGGAAACCAGUCGACUGGGCAUCUACUGACGCUGAGGUGCGAGAGCGUGGGGAGCGAACCGG
rnacentral:rRNA from 1 species